rnacentral:tRNA from 1 species
AGCGGGGUGGGGAAGCCAGGUUAUCCCGGCGGGCUCAUAACCCGCAGAGCGGUUUUCAUUAGAGUGUAACUUGAUGGCCGUAGGUUCAAAUCAACCCCCCGCUA